rnacentral:rRNA from 1 species
AGUGAACGCUGGCGGCAGGCCUAACACAUGCAAGUCGAACGAACCUUUCGGGGUUAGUUGCGGACGGGUGAGUAACACGUGGGAAGGUGCCUGUAGGUUCGGAAUAACUCAUUUAAACUUGUGCUAAUACCGAAUGUGCCCUUCUGGGGAAAGAUUUAUCGCCUUUAGAGGGGCCGGCGUCUGUUUAGCUUGUUGGUUAAGAUAAUGGCGCACCAAGGCUACGUACAGGAGCUGGUUAGAGAGGAUGAUCAGCCACAUUGGGAAUGGGACACGGCCCAAACUCGUACGGGAGGGAGGAGUGGGGAAUCUUGCGCAAUGGGCGAAAGCAUGACGGAGCCAUGCCGGGUGAGUGAUGAAGGUCUUAGGAUAGUAAAAUUCUUUCACCGGGCACGAUAAUGACGGUACCCGGAGAAGAAGCCCCGGCUAACUUCGUG